AGUGAAUGGAGGAAUCUAGCAAUGAUCUUUUGGUCUCAUGGAGCUGGCAAUUGAUAGGCCAUAUGGAUGGGGCAAAUGUCGAUGAAUACAACACAGAGAAUAUACCCUUAGCUGACAAUCUUGACCAUAGUUACUCAAUGGGUCCAGACGACAAGGGGGGCAACAACACAUCAGAUUGGUCCAGUGAUGCUUCUUUGCCGGCCCCCAGUAAUCUCACACUGGUUUAUGACACAGAUGUACCACAAAGUUCAAAUGGUAUUGCACGAUCCGUCUUUCAUAUGAAAUAAUUUGUGCUUACGGGAGCCGGCAUAAACCAGUGUGAGAUUACCAUUUGAGCUUCUGCAUGUGGCCCAUUAAUGUGGUCAAAGCAAGUUCUGUGGUCAGUACUCAAUUUGGUCAGUGAGCUAAACGUCAACUUGGUCAGUACUCUAUUUGGUCAAAGCAAGGUCUAACAAAUAUUUAGCUGCAGGUUUCUUAUACUACUUUGAAUUUAAACCAAGACAAUUUGGUCCAUUGUUAGGAAAAGUUAAGGAUUGUGAGCGAGAAAGUGGAGAGAAAAAAGGUACUUAUCAGCGGCAGGGGCGCGAGUAGGAUGCCCUUUCCCAGGGAACUAAAGUAGGAUUUGUCUUUACAACUAUGUUGUCGCAGUGUUCUCAUUCUGAAGGCGCCGACAGACCAUGAUACUUGAAGAUAUGGACGUGCCAAAUCUGCGCCGACCUCCUCUACGUGAUAUCUCUAAUGUUGAUCAUCAUUCCAAAUGUCUCCAGUGCCAGUUGGGAAUGGGUAAAUCUUGCUAAGCAACUACGAGAGCGCAACAGAACUAAGCUGAUGGGGAUGCGAGAAACUACCAAAUACGACACCUGGUCGACAAAGAUGGAUGCGAGCAUCUGUCAGUGGUAGAAGAGAUGAAUCACAAAAGUAAAGCUUGCAGUCAAAAAUAUGUGAAGCUCGGGAGGGCAUAGUGCUCAAAUACGUGUACCUCGAAACUUAAUUUUGUUCGCCUGCAUCAAUCAUCCAGUUCUGGUCUGACUUCAUUUUGCAAGGUUGCUGACAACAUUGAGCUGGACUUGCUUUUGUUGCUACUAUUGCUGAAGACAAACUCCAGAAAAGGGAGUGAAAGCAGAAAGAAGAGAGGUUGCACAAGAUGAGUAAUGAUGGGUAGCGAUAGAGGCUGAAGCUGUGAUGAUGAUGCGGAUAUGACCAUUAGUAUGUUUCCCAUCAAGGAAACCUACAAUUUCUAUUAUGAUACAAAUUUUCUAUUAUGAGGUGUGUUUCUCAUAAAGAAUGUGAUUUCUGCAUGAUAGUUUUCUAAAAACGUGAAGGUUUUAUGCAAAGACUGACAUUUUAGAAGGAUGUAGUAAAAUGUAAACCUUGGUAGGUACUCCUGAAGUUGAAGCUGCUCAAGCAAUAGUAAUUUGUUUUUCCGAGCA